AAAUCUGGUUGAUCCUGCCAGAGGCGACCGCUAUUGGAGUUCGAUUAAGCCAUGCGAGUCGAGAGCUUUCGGAGCUCGGCAUACUGCUCAGUAACACGUGGAUAACCUGCCCUGUGCUCUGGGAUAACCUCGGGAAACUGAGAAUAA
rnacentral:rRNA from 1 species